GACGAACGCUGGCGGCGUGCUUAACACAUGCAAGUCGAACGAUGAACUUGGAGCUUGCUCUGGGGGAUUAGUGGCGAACGGGUGAGUAACACGUGAGUAACCUGCCCUGGACUCUGGGAUAACUUCGAGAAAUCGGAGCUAAUACCGGAUAGGACCUUGCACCGCAUGGUGUGGGGUGGAAAGUUUUUCGGUUUGGGAUGGACUCGCGGCCUAUAAGCUUGUUGGUGAGGUAAUGGCUCACCAAGGCGUCGACGGGUAGCCGGCCUGAGAGGGUGACCGGCCACACUGGGAAUGAGACACGGCCCAGACUCCUACGGGAGGCAGCAGUGGGGAAUAUUGCACAAUGGGCGCAAGCCUGAUGCAGCAACGCCGCGUGCGGGAUGACGGCCUUCGGGUUGUAAACCGCUUUUAGUAGGGAAGAAGCCUUCGGGUGACGGUACCUGCAGAAAAAGGACCGGCUAACUACGUGCCAGCCGCCGCCGUAAAAC
rnacentral:rRNA from 1 species